GGGGCUGCACUGGUUUCGACAUGGGUUCGGAAGCGUUGCGGAGCAUGCCGAGCUUGAUUCACGCUCGUUAAUCUCGAUUCAAAAAAGUAACUGCAAACGACGAACGUUUCGCACUCGCCGCUUAAUCCGGCGAGCCUUGCAACAGCACGUCAAUGGGCUGGGCAAGGGCGGCGCAAGCCGUCCCGGCUGCAAGGGAAUUCACAUUGACUGGUCGCGCGCCGUGCUCCUUGGCGCGUGGCGAGAUUCAAGGGAGCUGGCCUGUUGUGCAGCGUGCCGCUGCGCGGCAUAGCAGGCAAGAUCAAACCAGCCGGCUAAGCAUGUAGAACCGAACGAAGAAGGCUUAUGGACGCGGGUUCAAAUCCCGCCAGCUCCACCA
rnacentral:tmRNA from 1 species